rnacentral:rRNA from 1 species
AGCAGCCGCGGUAAUUCCAGCUCCAAUAGCGUAUAUUAAAGUUGUUGCAGUUAAAAAGCUCGUAGUUGAAUUUCGGGGUCAGUAGAUUGGUCGUGCCACUGGUAUGUACUGGUCUUACUGGCUCCUCCUUCCUGAUGAACCGUAAUGCCAUUAAUUUGGUGUUGCGGGGAAACUGGACUGUUACUUUGAAAAAAAGUUAGAGUGUUUAAAGCAGGCUAACGCUUGAAUACAUUAGCAUGGAAUAAUGAAAUAGGACGUUCGAUCUUAUUUUGUUGGUUUCUAGGAUUGACGUAAUGAUUAAUAGGGAUAGUUGGGGGCAUUAGUAUUCAAUUGUCAGAGGUGAAAUUCUUGGAUUUAUUGAAGACUAACUACUGCGAAAGCAUUUGCCAAGGAUGUUUUCAUUAAUCAAGAACGAAAGUUAGGGGAUCGAAGACGAUCAGAUACCGUCGUAGUCUUAACCAUAAACUAUGCCGACUAGGGAUCGGAUGAUGUUAAUUUUUUUCAAUGACUCAUUCGGCGC